rnacentral:sRNA from 1 species
GCCAGGGACCGUGGCAUGUACCUGUAGUCCCAGCUACUUGGAAGGCCAAGGCAGGAGGAUUGCUUGAUCCUAGAAGUUUGGGGACAGCCUAGGAUAAAUACUAAGACAUUGUCUCAA